rnacentral:pre_miRNA from 1 species
AAACCCAAGUUGGAGAAGGGGAGCACGUGCAAACUCCAUGCAUCGACUACGUCUCGACUUUCAAGGAUCGAAAUUUGCACGUGCCCUGCUUCUCCAACACGAGUUA